rnacentral:rRNA from 1 species
GACUUAAGCAUAUCAAUAAGCGGAGGAAAAGAAACCANCAGGGAUUGCCUCAGUAACGGCGAGUGAAGCGGCAACAGCUCAAAUUUGAAAUCUGACCCCUUCGGGGCCCGAGUUGUAAUUUGUAGAGGAUGCUUCGGGUGCGGCGCCGGUCUAAGUUCCUUGGAACAGGACGUCAUAGAGGGUGAGAAUCCCGUAUGCGACCGGCGGUCAACCCCAUGUGAAGCCCCUUCGACGAGUCGAGUUGUUUGGGAAUGCAGCUCAAAAUGGGUGGUAAAUUUCAUCUAAAGCUAAAUACCGGCCAGAGACCGAUAGCGCACAAGUAGAGUGAUCGAAAGAUGAAAAGCACUUUGGAAAGAGAGUCAAACAGUACGUGAAAUUGUUGAAAGGGAAGCGCUUGCAACCAGACCUGCCCCCGGGCGAUCAGCCGUUAUUUUUAGCGGUGCACUCGUCCGCGAUCAGGCCAGCAUCGGUUCGGGCGGCCGGAUAAAGGCCUCGGGAAUGUAGCUCCCCCCGGGGAGUCUUAUAGCCCGAGGUGCAAUGCGGCCAGCCCGGACCGAGGACCGCGCUUCGGCUAGGAUGCUGGCGUAAUGGUUGUAAGCGACCCGUCUUGAAACACGGACC